rnacentral:rRNA from 1 species
GACAGAGGAGGCAAGCGUUGUUCGGAAUUAUUGGGCUUAAAGCGCGUGUAGGCGGCCGCGUAAGUGCUUUGUGAAAGUCCACGGCUCAACCGUGGAAUUGCAGGGCAUACUGCGCGGGUUGAGGUCGGUAGAGGUGGCCGGAACUCUAGGUGGAGCGGUGAAAUGCGUAGAUAUCUAGAGGAACGCCGGAGGCGAAAGCGUGCCACUGGGCCGAUUCUGACGCUGAGACGUGAAAGCGUGGGGAGCAAACAGG